UACGUAGGGUGCGAGCGUUAAUCGGAAUUACUGGGCGUAAAGUGUGCGCAGGCGGCCGAGCAAGUCGAGUGUGAAAGCCCCGAGCUUAACUUGGGAACUGCGCUCGAAACUACUUGGCUAGAGUGUGGCAGAGGGAGGUGGAAUUCCACGUGUAGCGGUGAAAUGCGUAGAGAUGUGGAGGAACACCGAUGGCGAAGGCAGCCUCCUGGGCCAACACUGACGCUCAUGUACGAAAGCGUGGGGAGCGAAUGGG
rnacentral:rRNA from 1 species